UACGAAGGGUGCUAGCGUUGUUCGGAAUGACUGGGCGUAAAGGGCGCGUAGGCGGUUUUUUAAGUUAGGCGUGAAAGCCCUGGGCUUAACCCAGGACGUGCGCUUAAGACUAAAAGACUUGAGUUUGGAAGAGGUAAGUGGAAUUCCUAGUGUAGAGGUGAAAUUCGUAGAUAUUAGGAAGAACACCGGUGGCGAAGGCGGCUUACUGGUCCAAUACUGACGCUGAGGCGCGAAAGUGUGGGGAGCAAAC
rnacentral:rRNA from 1 species